AAAAACAGGCUCGUCAUCAACACAACCGCCCCAUCCUGUGCUCGUUUCUCUCAACGUCGCCAGAUCUGGGGAACCACCGGGAGGAGAACCACGAGCAUGAGCGACCACAAUCGCGUCAGCAGAAGCAUCCCCAGUCAGAUCGGGUGCUCAGCGCCGCCGCCGCCCUUUUCUCUUGUCUACGAGGCCGUCACAUCAAGAUCGAGCAGGCCAGGCGGCGGCGCUCCCAGAUCCGCUCCACGACGGCUCUAGCUCGUCGUCCCAGCCGGCGGGCACGUGCUCUUCAUCCAUAAGCACGGCUCCGAGCUGGCCGCGACCUAGGGCUCCCGGAGCUCGCGCGGCCGUGCUCGAGGUGGAGACAGCCAACGGGUUGACGGCGGCGACCAAGCCGAGGAGGAGGAGGAUAGGAGCAACCUCGCCGGCAUGCUCCGUCCGGAGGACGCGGUGGUGGAGCGCGCGCUCGGGGACGCGCCCGACAGGAGCUCACCCGCCUCGCUGCAGACUACCUCCACAGCACGCACAACGCGUCGCUGCACUGCCUCUUCCUCCGCCGGGCGCUGCGCCGCGCACACGCACUCUACGGGCCCAUCACGGACGUUCUCACGCUGAUCCCGCACGCCAUGCCUCUCAUCGUGCCACACUGCGACUGCGCGUUUGACGCCUUCCUCCUGUUCGACAAAAUACCCAACCCGUUCCUGUCCCCGAAGUCAGCUUCCAGGGCAUGCAUCGGAGCUUUGCUGGCCUCAAAACCCAUCUCGACCUCCGCUUCCUCAAGGCCCGACGGAACUGCCGGCUGUUGUGGUGCACGAUGUGCGGGUCUGGCAUCUGCCUCAUUGCCUGCGCGACGGGAGCUGCAAUAGCUGGCCUCGUCAUCGCCACCCAUGCCAUGGCCGCAUUGUUGGCAGCGGCUCCUGCCUGUGCAGCGCCGCGUGUUUCCUGCUGCUCAACCCUCGCUUGGAUGAAACGCCUGCAGCAACACAUGGACCGGCUUGACGCCGCAGCCAGGGGCGCCGAUGUGCUCAACAAUGACAUGGACACCAUUGAACGGCUGGUGGAUAGGCUCCACGCCACUGUCAAGGGUGACAAGAUCUUGGUUAGGCUAAGGCUUGAGCGCGGGAGGGGGCAACACCACACCAUCGAAGAGGUGGUGCGGCAGCUCCGAAAGAACCAUCCUAGCCUACUAUGCCAGCUCGCCGACCUCGAGGAGCACAUCUGUCUCUACUUUGCAGCCGUUAACCGUGCAAGGCUAUUCCUUGUACACCACCUCAAUGCCCAGUCUGAUCCCAACGCCGAGUUGCCUCUCUAGUGAUUUACUGAUUUAUUGAACAACAUUUCACGAUUCAAGGAUGGUUUCAUUUUCAUGUCGGUGACCCCCUUGUAAGGCGCCAAGUGAAUGAAUUAUACUGCAGCAACUCUGUUGCAAGUUUUUUUGUUUCGAGCAAGGUAUUAUGCAUUCAUUGUCUAUUGCUUGAAAUAAUUUGUUAGCAAAUUUAGGAAGCAGCUAAAGCUCUCGCCUUUGUGCUGUUUCUACUGCAUUACUGAUUAAGUGUGUUUUCCUUGCUCAAGGUUGCCGGUGCAGGUACUAAAGUGCAGACCAAGGAGGAGGUCGCGAUUAAGCUUGAAAAUGUGAAGGCGAAGCAUCCUCAGUUGCUGUAUGAGUCAAAGUUGUACAGGGUACUGCAGGGCAGAAGUAAUGCCCAUUCAUUUUCUUUCCUUGGACCAUAAAUUUAAGAUAUUUUUUGCUGUUAUGAUGCUGGCGUACAUUUUUUUAUUGUGUAGUUGGGAUUUCAAAUGUUGAGUGGUUUGGUGUUGAGGGUGACUACAAUGUUCUUGUUACUUUCAUGGGAUCUAGCAUGGUUGAAUUGUGGUGGCUGGCUCCCUAGACAAGCGGAUGCCACUCUCCUCCUUGUGUUCGACAACAUGAAGAAUAUUGAUGUUGAGAUGGACGCACGCUUCAGGAGCAGCAGAGGUCCUAUAUAGUUUUUUGUUGAAUCCAUUUCCCUUUUCUUACUUGUGUUUGCACCUCUCUUAACCUAACAAAUAUUUGGCACCUUGAAAAUCUGUUGGAAACAUGCGAACGAAUAAUAAUAUGUCGAAUUUCAUUGUCUGCGUACACAUGACCAUGUUGUUUAUUUCAGGUAUGUGAAUCCUCACUGGGAAAAUUCCUCUUCUAUCGGAGUUGACCUGUUUCAGACAAAGCCUUCCUGUGUAGAUGGGAAAGUGAUUCAAAAUUCUGCUAGGACUCCAUUAGUACAUGUAGAGGGCUUGUUAAUAUGCCAUGCUAAUGCAAUUUGACAUAUGACAUACUGACCGGCCAUUAUUUUAAUUGUUCGUCUUCAGCUGCUCAAUUGGUCUGAUGGGGAGAGAUCUUAUAGGUUCUGCGUGAGGGUGAAGGACAAUUCCAUUCUAUGAAGUGGAAGAUUUGUCCUGAUCAUCUAAAUUUCAGUAGUUAUUUUUCUUCCUUGAGUGACCUUGCUUUUGUAUUUUAACCACACAAUGAGCUCUAGAGUAACUGAGUAUUUAACAAGUAGGUGAUGCUUUAACUUACUAUUCAUGAUCAAAUUGAUGAUAUAGGUACACACUUUUUUGUGGUACUAUAUUUCUAUUCUGUAGGUGAGAGGAUCUCAUGUUGGUUCAUAUCUACCAUGUUCUGGUGUUUGGCAUCGUACACAGAGGUACCGAAAGAGAAGGAAUAAUGAUUCUAAUAUAGUGAAGCAUGUGGAUGUUGAUGCUCCAACUCUGAAGUAGCCCAACUUCUUCCUCAUUACAAGGUAGGCUAUUUGGUAUCUAUCUCAAAUACAGUGUAAAUAUCCUUUCAUAAAACUGCUAAUAAUUUAUUGUGAUAUCUAAAUGCUACAAGUAUGCAUUAUAAUUGGUUCCACUUGGCCUUUUCAAAAUUAUUUUUCAUACUCUUUAUGUGAUAACACACCAUCUUUCACCUCAUAAUGUCACUUUAAUUGAGGAUGCCUUGGACAACUGUGCUGUACCUAACCUUCAAAUUUAAUCCUUUAUGUUAAAGCAAUAAUUAUUGGACUAAUAUCAUUAUAAAGAAGACAAAUCUCUUUCAGCUGUUAAAGAUCUCUUCCCAUUAAUCAUCUUUGGUGAAUUAACCAGAAUUUUCAUUUAGUAAAAUCAGAGCUCACCUUUCCUUUAUAUGUAAGCAGAAACAAGAUGAAUUGAUUUUAGAAGAUAUCUAGACUCUCUUUAAGAGCUGGAAGAUUAGAAGAGGCAUGUGAAUUGUGUCGAUCUGCUGCACAUGUUGGUCAGCUUGUAUAUGCCUAUGUAAUUCUUAUGAUGUGUCACCUCUACUUGAUGCUAAUGCCUCGAGUAUGUUCAGGCAUGGAGAGCUGCCACCCUUUCCCCUUUGGUGGCAUAGAUCUGUUUCCUUCCCGGGAGGCCAUGCUCAAGAAUGAAAAUGCUAGAACACUACAAACAAGCUCCAGGGUUGGGUCGUUUGAUUCUGUCUUUUUUCUUUGAUUUCUUUCCAGUUCUCAGCUGAAUCUACUACUGCUACGCUUGCUCUGCUUUAUCAAUGCACACUCUUGCUAUUUACAACCAACAUGAAGUUAUGGCUCUUUUCGAUUGCUUGUCUUCUCGCUGAAGUAAGAAUCCUGUCAUAUAGAGACGUUAACUAAUACACUAGCUUGGUUAGUGCGCACAAUUUUGCCUCAAGAGGCGCCACCUGAAUUGUUGUAAACAUGGCAUGAAUACUUCAUAAAUGAUAAAAGAAACAUCACGGUAGUUUUGUUGAAAACAAUCUCAGUCCGAGUUAGUUCUAUUCAACACCACGAUAAUACGUUGGAGACGUAUUAGCAUC
rnacentral:rRNA from 1 species